rnacentral:rRNA from 1 species
CUGAUGGACGAAAGCGUGGGUAGCGAACAGGAUUAGAUACCCUGGUAGUCCACGCUGUAAACGAUGCUAACUCGUUUUUGGGCAUUAUAGUUCAGAGACCAAGCGAAAGUGAUAAGUUAGCCACCUGGGGAGUACGUUCGCAAGAAUGAAACUCAAAGGAAUUGACGGGGGCCCGCACAAGCGGUGGAUUAUGUGGUUUAAUUCGAUGAUACGCGAGGAACCUUACCAAGACUUAAAUGGGAAUUGACAGACGCAGAAAUGUGUUUUUCUUCGGACAAUUUUCAAGGUGCUGCAUGGUUGUCGUCAGCUCGUGCCGUGAGGUGUUAGGUUAAGUCCUGCAACGAGCGCAACCCCUGCCAAUAGUUGCCAUCAUUCAGUUGGGGACUCUAUUGGGACUGCCUACGCAAGUAGAGAGGAAGGUGGGGAUGACGUCAAAUCAUCACGGCCCUUACGUCUUGGGCCACACACGUAAUACAAUGGCCGGUACAGAGGGCAGCUACACUGCGAAGUGAUGCGAAUCUCGAAAGCCGGUCUCAGUUCGGAUUGGAGUCUGCAACUCGACUCUAUGAAGCUGGAAUCGCUAGUAAUCGCAUAUCAGCCAUGAUGCGGUGAAUACGUUCCCGGGCCUUGUACACACCGCCCGUCAAGCCAUGGAAGUUUGGGGUACCUGAAGUCGGUGACCGUAAAAGGAGCUGCCUAGGGUAAAACAAGUAACUAGGGCUAAGUCGUAACAAGGUAGCCGUACCGGAAGGUGCGGCUG